CAGCAGCCGCGGUAAUACGAAGGGGGCUAGCGUUGCUCGGAAUGACUGGGCGUAAAGGGCGCGUAGGCGGAUUGUUUAGUUAGGCGUGAAAUUCCUGGGCUUAACCUGGGGACUGCGCUUAAUACAGGCAGUCUAGAGUGAGGAAGAGGGUUGUGGAAUUCCCAGUGCAGAGGUGAAAUUCGUAGAUAUUGGGAAGAACACCGGUGGCGAAGGCGGCAACCUGGUCCUUGACUGACGCUGAGGCGCGAAAGCGUGGGGAGCAAACAGGAUUAGAUACCCCUGUAGUCCCUGUCUCUUAUAC
rnacentral:rRNA from 1 species